rnacentral:rRNA from 1 species
GAUCAGUGGCUCAGGACACGCUGGCGGCGUGCUUAACACAUGCAAGUCGAACGGUAAGGCCCUUCGGGGUACACGAGUGGCGAACGGGUGAGUAACACGUGGGUGAUCUGCCCUGCACUUCGGGAUAAGCCUGGGAAACUGGGUCUAAUACCGGAUAGGACUCCUGGCUUCAUGGUUGGGGGUGUAAAGCUUUUGCGGUGUGGGAUGGGCCCGCGGCCUAUCAGCUUGUUGGUGGGGUAAUGGCCUACCAAGGCGACGACGGGUAGCCGGCCUGAGAGGGUGACCGGCCACACUGGGACUGAGAUACGGCCCAGACUCCUACGGGAGGCAGCAGUGGGGAAUAUUGCACAAUGGCGCAAGCCUGAUGCAGCGACGCCGCGUGAGGGAUGACGGCCUUCGGGUUGUAAACCUCUUUCAAUAGGGACGAAGCGCAAGUGACGGUACCUAUAGAAGAAGGACCGGCCAACUACGUG